AGUGAACGCUGGCGGCAGGCCUAACACAUGCAAGUCGAGCGGCAGCGCGUCCGACCACCCUCGGGUGGUCGGAUGGCGGCGAGCGGCGGACGGGUGAGGAAUGCAUCGGAAUCUGCCUCGUUGUGGGGGAUAACGUAGGGAAACUUACGCUAAUACCGCAUACGACCUACGGGUGAAAGUGGGGGACCUUCGGGCCUCACGCGAUGAGAUGAGCCGAUGCCGGAUUAGCUAGUUGGCGGGGUAAAGGCCCACCAAGGCGACGAUCGGUAGCUGGUCUGAGAGGAUGAUCAGCCACACUGGGACUGAGACACGGCCCAGACUCCUACGGGAGGCAGCAGUGGGGAAUAUUGGACAAUGGGCGCAAGCCUGAUCCAGCAAUGCCGCGUGUGUGAAGAAGGCCUGCGGGUUGUAAAGCACUUUUGUUCGGGAAGAAAUCAUGUCGGUUAAUACCCGAUGUGGAUGACGGUACCGAAAGAAUAAGCA
rnacentral:rRNA from 1 species